rnacentral:rRNA from 1 species
UACAGAGGUCUCAAGCGUUGUUCGGAUUCAUUGGGCGUAAAGGGUGUGUAGGUGGCGCGCUAAGUCGGGUGUGAAAUUUCGGAGCUUAACUCCGAAACUGCAUUCGAUACUGGCGUGCUUGAGGACUGGAGAGGAGACUGGAAUUCAUGGUGUAGCAGUGAAAUGCGUAGAGAUCAUGAGGAAGACCAGUGGCGAAGGCGGGUCUCUGGACAGUUCCUGACACUGAGACACGAAGGCCAGCGGAGCAAACGGG